rnacentral:tRNA from 1 species
UGACCCGGACGUGAUUUGAACACGCAGCCUUCGGAUCUGGAGACAGACGCGCUACCGUUGCGCCACCGCGUC